rnacentral:rRNA from 1 species
GACAGAGGAUGCAAGCGUUAUCCGGAAUGAUUGGGCGUAAAGCGUCUGUAGGUGGCUUUUUAAGUCCGCCGUCAAAUCCCAGGGCUUCAACCCUGGACAGGCGGUGGAAACUACCAAGCUGGAGUACGGUAGGGGCAGAGGGAAUUUCCAGUGGAGGCGGUGAAAUUGCGUAGAUCUUGGAAAAGACCACCAAUGGCGAAGGCACUCUACUGGGCCAUUACUGACACUAAGAGACGAAAGCUAGGGGAGCAAAUGGGA